rnacentral:rRNA from 1 species
ACUCAAAGGAAUAGACGGGGGCCCGCACAAGCGGCGGAGCAUGCGGAUUAAUUCGAUGCAACGCGAAGAACCUUACCUGGGUUUGACAUACACGGAAAACCCGUAGAGAUAUGGGGUCCUUUUAGGGUCGUGUACAGGUGGUGCAUGGCUGUCGUCAGCUCGUGUCGUGAGAUGUUGGGUUAAGUCCCGCAACGAGCGCAACCCUUGUCCUAUGUUGCCAGCACGUAAUGGUGGGGACUCAUAGGAGACUGCCGGGGUCAACUCGGAGGAAGGUGGGGAUGACGCCAAGUCAUCAUGCCCCUUAUGUCCAGGGCUUCACGCAUGCUACAAUGGCCGGUACAGAGGGCUGCGAUACCGUAAGGUGGAGCGAAUCUCGUAAAGCCGGUCUCAGUUCGGAUCGGGGUCUGCAACUCGACCCCGUGAAGUUGGAGUCGCUAGUAAUCGCAGAUCAGCAACGCUGCGGUGAAUACGUUCCCGGGCCUUGUACACACCGCCCGU